rnacentral:rRNA from 1 species
CCUACGGGUUGCACCAGUAGGGAAUCUUCGGCAAUGGACGAAAGUCUGACCGAGCAACGCCGCGUGAGUGAAGAAGGUUUACGGAUCGUAAAACUCUGUUGUUAGAGAAGAACAAGUAGGAGAGUAACUGCUCUUACCUUGACGGUAUCUAACCAGAAAGCCACGGCUAACUACGUGCCAGCAGCCGCGGUAAUACGUAGGUGGCAAGCGUUGAUCGGAUCUAUUGGGCGUAAAGCGAGCGCAGGCGGUCUUUUAAGUCUGAUGUGAAAGCCCUCGGCUCAACCGAGGGAGGUCAUUGGAAACUGGAGGACUUGAGUGCAGAAGAGGAGAGUGGAAUUCCAUGUGUAGCGGUGAAAUGCGUAGAUAUAUGGAGGAACACCAGUGGCGAAGGCGACUCUCUGGUCUGUAACUGACGCUGAGGCUCGAAAGCGUGGGGAGCAAACAGGAUUAGAUACCCCUGGUAGUC